AGUGAACGCUGGCGGUAGGCCUAACACAUGCAAGUCGAACGGCAGCACAGUAAGAGCUUGCUCUUACGGGUGGCGAGUGGCGGACGGGUGAGGAAUACAUCGGAAUCUACUUUUUCGUGGGGGAUAACGUAGGGAAACUUACGCUAAUACCGCAUACGACCUACGGGUGAAAGCAGGGGAUCUUCGGACCUUGCGCGAUUGAAUGAGCCGAUGUCGGAUUAGCUAGUUGGCGGGGUAAAGGCCCACCAAGGCGACGAUCCGUAGCUGGUCUGAGAGGAUGAGGAGCCAGAGUGGGAGUAAAACAAGUUCCAGGCUCAGGAGGGAGGCAGCGGUGCAGAGUAUGGGACAAUGGCCGCAAGCCUGAACCAGCCAUAUCGCGUGAGUGAAGAAGGCCAUCUUGUUCUAAAGCUGUUUUGUCGGGAAAGAAAAGAGACAGGUUAAUACCCCGCUGUCCUGCGGCAGCGUAAAAAAAAAGCACCGGCUAACUUCAUG
rnacentral:rRNA from 1 species